CUUGAGCGAGCCCAGCCACAGCGGCCGGUCCUCGGGGCGGUCCGGCCCGUAGGCGGCGAUGAUCGCGCCCGCCUC
rnacentral:antisense_RNA from 1 species